GCUGGGGAUGGUGGCACAUGCCUGUAGUCCCAACUACUUGGGAAGCUGAGAUGGGAGGAUUGCUUGAGCCUGGGAUUUCGGGGCUGCAGUGAGCAGUGAUUAUGCCACUGCACUCCAGCCUGGGUGACAGAGUGAGACCCUGUCUCAA
rfam:Homo sapiens chromosome 10, GRCh38 reference primary assembly.